rnacentral:rRNA from 1 species
UACGUAGGGGGCAAGCGUUGUCCGGAAUCAUUGGGCGUAAAGAGCGCGUAGGCGGCCCUGUAAGUCCGCUGUGAAAGUCAAGGGCUCAACCCUUGGAUGCCGGUGGAUACUGCCGGGCUAGAGUCCGGAAGAGGCGAGUGGAAUUCCUGGUGUAGCGGUGAAAUGCGCAGAUAUCAGGAGGAACACCGAUGGCGAAGGCAGGUCUCUGGGCCACUACUGACGCUGAGGAGCGAAAGCAUGGGGAGCGAACAGG